CGUUCUUAACGACACAUCUAUUCUUCCAAGAGUGAACAUUGAAGAUAAAACAUUCAAUUUUAUUUAUCAACUGCAUUUCAACUAGAUUUGCAAUAAAUGGCAAUGAAAAAAUCAAAAGAUUCGGAGCAGAUGCAUGAAGUGAGACAUUUAGAAGAUGGAGAUCACAUUGGAGAACCCGGCAAAGGUUAUACACACCACGGCAUUUUCCUAGGACACAAGGAGGUUGUUGCACAUUUCUCGGGAGACACCGCGGCUGAUGCUCAGCUUUGCACUGUUGACAUUUCAGGAUUUACUGAUAAUAUGAGGAAACGCCUCUUCAGAAUUAACUAUGGUGCUGGUCAGUGCUUGUCCCCAAAGGAGUCAGUGGACAUAGCUAAACAGUACUUGCAAAAUCCACAAUCGUGGAAUUUAAUUGUUAUAUAACUCGUGUAAUUUAUUGUUAAAUAAUUGCGAGCAUUUUGCGAUAUAUUGCAAAACGGGAUGUAAAGAGUCUAAACAGGCACAGGUGGCCUUUCAAUUGAUGAACACACUUGCAAAAACACUUGGGUCACGAUCGCCGAAAAGUGGCUCAAGCAGCUCAAGAAGCAGAUCGGGCUCUGGUUGCAUUAUAUUCUGACUCUCCUUCAAAAUGUUAACCAUUAAUUAAUUAACGAAACACAGUAUGAGCUUAAUGUAGUCAUAAGAGUCAAGUGUCAGUUCGUCAAGUUAUUUACCACGCAUGUAUACAUGGGUAAGAUUUGUGUUGUUUGAUGUAAAUGACUGGACAGCUUAAUUAUAUAAAACAGAAACAUAUAUUUAUUAUGAUUAUAUAUGUUUAUAUGUUAUUUUGUUUACAGUUGAUAUAUUUUGCACGGAUUGUGUACAUUAUGAAUGUGUUUUUUAUAAUAAUUUUUGUAUUGUUAGAUUAUUUAAAAUCGUUGUGUAAAACACGGUGAUAUAUCCGAUGGACGAUUCCAAUUUGGGUGUACCAGCUGCGUACGAGUACAUGUAUAUCACAGAAUUGUACUAAACGCUGUUAAAUAACCAUAUAAUAAUAUACAUAUUAUAUUCGUU